rnacentral:rRNA from 1 species
AAUGAACGCUGGCGGUGUGCCUAAUACAUGCAAGUCGAACGACCAGACGAGGGACUUUCCCCUCUGACGUUAGCGUGGCACAGGGGAGUAACAUGUAGAUAACCCUCCUAUGUGACUGGGAUAACUUCGGGAAAACUGACCCAAUUCCGGCUAAUAUCUUUAACCGCAUGGUUCAAUAGUGCAAGACGGCUUUGCUGUGACUUAUCGGUUGAUCCGCGCCGGAUUAGCUAGUUGGUAAGGUAACGGCUUACCAAGGCAACGAUGCGUAGCCGACCUGAGAGGAUGAUCGGCCACACUGGAACUGAGACACGGUCCAGACUCCUACGGGAGGCAGCAGUGGGGAAUAUUCGGCAAUGGGCGAAAGCUUGAUCGAGCAACGCCGCGUGAGUGAUGAAGGCCUUCGGAUCGUAAAGCUCUGUUAUUAGGGAAGAAAACAUGUGGAAUUAUCUCCUCACGUGUUGACGGUACCUAAACAGAAAGCCACGGCUAACUUCGUG